AGUGAACGCUGGCGGUAGGCCUAACGCAUGCAAGUCGAACGGCAGCACAGUAAGAGCUUGCUCUUACGGGUGGCGAGUGGCGGACGAGUGAGGAAUACAUCGGAAUCUACUUUUUCGUGGGGGAUAACGUAGGGAAACUUACGCUAAUACCGCAUACGACCUACGGGUGAAAGCAGGGGAUCUUCGGACCUUGCGCGAUUGAAUGAGCCGAUGUCGGAUUAGCUAGUUGGCGGGGUAAAGGCCCACCAAGGCGACGAUCCGUAGCUGGUCUGAGAGGAUGAUCAGCCACACUGGAACUGAGACACGGUCCAGACUCCUACGGGAGGCAGCAGUGGGGAAUAUUGGACAAUGGGCGCAAGCCUGAUCCAGCCAUACCGCGUGGGUGAAGAAGGCCUUCGGGUUGUAAAGCCCUCUUGUUGGGAAAGAAAAGCAGCAGGUUAAUACCCCGCUGUUCUGACGGUACCCAAAGAAUAAGCACCGGCUAACUUCGUG
rnacentral:rRNA from 1 species